rnacentral:rRNA from 1 species
GGGGGGCCUGUCCUACACAUGCAAGUCGAGCGGUAGCACAGAGAGCUUGCUCUCGGGUGACGAGCGGCGGACGGGUGAGUAAUGUCUGGGAUACUGCCUGAUGGAGGGGGAUAACUACUGGAAACGGUAGCUAAUACCGCAUAACGUCGCAAGACCAAAGUGGGGGACCUUCGGGCCUCAUGCCAUCAGAUGUGCCCAGAUGGGAUUAGCC